UACAGAGGUGGCAAGCGUUGUUCGGAAUUACUGGGCGUAAAGGGCGCGUAGGCGGCCUACUAAGUCAGACGUGAAAUCCCCCGGCUUAACCUGGGAACUGCAUCUGAUACUGGAUGGCUUGAGUUCGGGAGAGGGAUGCGGAAUUCCAGGUGUAGCGGUGAAAUGCGUAGAUAUCUGGAGGAAUACCGGUGGCGAAGGCGGCAUCCUGGACCGACAUUGACGCUGAGGAGCGAAAGCUAGGGGAGCAAACGGG
rnacentral:rRNA from 1 species